rnacentral:tRNA from 15 species
GGUUUCAUAGUACAAUAGUUAGUAUUUUAGAUUUAAAAUCUAAUCUAUUGGUCUAGGUUCAAAUUUUAGUGGAGUAC